GGAUGUGAGGGCGAUCUGGCUGCGACAUCUGUCACCUCAUUGAUCGCCAGGGUUGAUUUGGCUGAUCUGGCUGGCUAGGCGGGUGUCCCCCUCCUCCCUCACCGAUCCAUGUGCGUCCCUCCCGAAGCUGCAAGCUGCGCGCUCGGUCGAAGAGGACGACCUCCCCGCCUCGCCCCCCCCAACCCCCCCGGAGAGGACCGGUCUUCGGUCAAGGGUAUACG
rnacentral:snRNA from 1 species